rnacentral:rRNA from 1 species
CCUGACGCAGCGACGCCGCGUGGGGGAUGAAGGCUUUCGGGUUGUAAACCUCUUUUAUUCCUGAACAAGGCUUGGAUUGUUGUCUGGGUUGAGGGUAGGGGGUGAAUAAGCGCCGGCUAACUACGUGCCAGCAGCCGCGGUAAUACGUAGGGCGCGAGCGUUGUCCGGAUUUAUUGGGCGUAAAGAGCUCGUAGGCGGUUUGUUGCGUCUGCUGUGAAAACGCGGGGCUUAACUUCGCGCGUGCAGUGGGUACGGGCAGGCUAGAGUGCGGUAGGGGAGAUUGGAAUUCCUGGUGUAGCGGUGGAAUGCGCAGAUAUCAGGAGGAACACCGAUGGCGAAGGCAGGUCUCUGGGCCGUUACUGACGCUGAGGAGCGAAAGCGUGGGGAGCGAACAGGAUUAGAUACCCUGGUAGUCCAUGCUGUAAACGUUGGGCACUAGGUGUGGGGGCCUUUCCGGGUUUCUGCGUCGUAGCUAACGCUUUAAGUGCCCCGCCUGGGGAGUACGGCCGCAAGGUUAAAACUCAAAGGAAUUGACGG